GGCACUGGGAGGUUCUGCGAGGCCGUGGGGGGCACGAGGUGGGUCAGGAGGGGACGACGCGGCCCCCCGGCCCACCCCACGCUUUGUUUUGCCGCAGGGCUCCCGUUGGGGGUGUGGGCUCGGGGACGUUCGGCCGUUGUCGGGAGUUCGGUGGGGUCAGCAGGCGGCCGCCAGGCGCAUGGCUCCGUCCUCACUGCCAGGCACUUCCAGGGGCUGCGUUCAGCCCUUGGCCCCCCCCCCCCCGCUGUUGGCUGCAGAACGUCCUCAGUCCUCGGGCAGCUGAGCCUCGGCCAGGCGUGGGCGCAAACCCGGUGGAGGCCGCGCGCCGCGAAGCCACAUAGCAGCCACGGCCGCCCGGGGCUCGGGCUGCAGCGGGGCCGGGGCUGCGCUCGGUGCCCGCACGUCGGCUGCUCUCCGGGCGGGCGGGCAGG
rnacentral:lncRNA from 1 species